rnacentral:rRNA from 1 species
UGGGGAAUAUUGCACAAUGGGGGAAACCCUGAUGCAGCGACGCCGCGUGAGCGAUGAAGUAUUUCGGUAUGUAAAGCUCUAUCAGCAGGGAAGAAAGUGACGGUACCUGACUAAGAAGCCCCGGCUAACUACGUGCCAGCAGCCGCGGUAAUACGUAGGGGGCAAGCGUUAUCCGGAUUUACUGGGUGUAAAGGGAGCGUAGACGGGAGAGCAAGUCUGAAGUGAAAGCCCAGGGCUCAACCCUGGGACUGCUUUGGAAACUGUUGACCUAGAGUGCUGGAGAGGUAAGUGGAAUUCCUAGUGUAGCGGUGAAAUGCGUAGAUAUUAGGAGGAACACCAGUGGCGAAGGCGGCUUACUGGACAGUGACUGACGUUGAGGCUCGAAAGCGUGGGGAGCAAACA